UUAUCCGGAAUUAUUGGGCGUAAAGAGGGAGCAGGCGGCACUAAGUCUGUGGUGAAAGAUCGAAGCUUAACUUCGGUAAGCCAUGGAAACCGUAGAGCUAGAGUGUGUGAGAGGAUCGUGGAAUUCCAUGUGUAGCGGUGAAAUGCGUAGAUAUAUGGAGGAACACCAGUGGCGAAGGCGACGAUCUGGCGCAUAACUGACGCUCAGUCCCGAAAGCGUGGGGAGCAAAUAGGAUUAGAUACCCUAGUAGUCCACGCCGUAAACGAUGAGUACUAAGUGUUGGGAGUCAAAUCCCAGUGCUGCAGUUAACGCAAUAAGUACUCCGCCUGAGUAGUACGUUCGCAAGAAUGAAACUCAAAGGAAUUGACGGGGGCCCGCACAAGCGGUGGAGCAUGUGGUUUAAUUC
rnacentral:rRNA from 1 species